GGCCGCGGGAAUUCGAUUAGAGUUUGAUCCUGGCUCAGGAUGAACGCUGGCGGUAUGCUUAACACAUGCAAGUCGAACGGAGUACUUCGGUACUUAGUGGCGGACGGGUGAGUAACGCGUGAGAAUCUGCCUUCAGGAUGGGGAUAACAGUGGGAAACCAUUGCUAAUACCCAAUGAGCCGAGAGGUAAAAAAUUUAUUGCCUGAAGAGGAGCUCGCGUCCGAUUAGUUAGUUGGUGGGGUAAAGGCUUACCAAGACGGCGAUCGGUAGCUGGUCUGAGAGGAUGAGCAGCCACACUGGGACUGAGACACGGCCCAGACUCCUACGGGAGGCAGCAGUGGGGAAUUUUCCGCAAUGGGCGAAAGCCUGACGGAGCAAUACCGCGUGAGGGAGGAAGGCCUUUGGGUUGUAAACCUCUUUUCUUAAGGAAGAAGAUCUGACGGUACUUAAGGAAUCAGCAUCGGCUAACUCCGUGCCAGCAGCCGCGGUAAUACGGAGGAUGCAAGCGUUAUCCGGAAUUAUUGGGCGUAAAGCGUCCGCAGGCGGCACUAUAAGUCUGCUGUCAAAGACCGCAGCUCAACUGCGGAAAGGCAGUGGAAACUGUAGAGCUAGAGUACGGUAGGGGUAGAGGGAAUUCCCAGUGUAGCGGUGAAAUGCGUAGAGAUUGGGAAGAACACCAGUGGCGAAAGCGCUCUACUGGGCCGUAACUGACGCUCAGGGACGAAAGCUAGGGGAGCGAAAGGGAUUAGAUACCCCUGUAGUCCUAGCUGUAAACGAU
rnacentral:rRNA from 1 species